CUAGUUUUGUUCUGGCUCAGAGAAAAACGGCGGCACAGUUAACACACAUGCAAGUCGAACGGACCCUUCGGGGGAGUGGCAGACGGGUGAGUAACACGUGGGAACAUACCUUUUGGUUCGGAAUAACUCAGGGAAAUUUCAGGUAAUACCGAAUGAGCCCUUCGGGGGAAAGAUUUAUCGCCAAAGGAGUGGCCCGCGUCUGAUUAGCUAGUUGGUGAGGUAAUGGCUCACCAAGGCGACGAUCAGUAGCUGGUCUGAGAGGAUGAUCAGCCACAUUGGGACUGAGACACGGCCCAAACUCCUACGGGAGGCAGCAGUGGGGAAUAUUGGACAAUGGGGGAAACCCUGAUGUAGCCAUGCCGCGUGAAUGAUGAAGGCCUUAGGGUUGUAAAAUUCUCAGCCGGGGAAGAUAAUGACGUAGCUUUAGU
rnacentral:rRNA from 1 species